UACAGAGGUCUCAAGCGUUGUUCGGAUUCAUUGGGCGUAAAGGGUGCGUAGGCGGCGCGGUAAGUCGGGUGUGAAAUUUCGAGGCUUAACUUCGAAACUGCAUUCGAUACUGCCGUGCUUGAGGACUGGAGAGGAGACUGGAAUUUACGGUGUAGCGGUGAAAUGCGUAGAUAUCGUAAGGAAGACCAGUGGCGAAGGCGGGUC
rnacentral:rRNA from 1 species